rnacentral:rRNA from 1 species
CCUACGGGAGGCAGCAGUAGGGAAUCUUCCACAAUGGGCGAAAGCCUGAUGGAGCAACGCCGCGUGGGUGAAGAUGGUCUUCGGAUCGUAAAACCCUGUUGUUAGAGAAGAAAGUGCGUGAGAGUAACUGUUCACGUUUCGACGGUAUCUAACCAGAAAGCCACGGCUAACUACGUGACAGCAGCCGCGGUAAUACGUAGGUGGCAAGCGUUAUCCGGAUUUAUUGGGCGUAAAGGGAACGCAGGCGGUCUUUUAAGUCUGAUGUGAAAGCCUUCGGCUUAACCGGAGUAGUGCAUUGGAAACUGGGAGACUUGAGUGCAGAAGAGGAGAGUGGAACUCCAUGUGUAGCGGUGAAAUGCGUAGAUAUAUGGAAGAACACCAGUGGCGAAAGCGGCUCUCUGGUCUGUAACUGACGCUGAGGUUCGAAAGCGUGGGUAGCAAACAGGAUUAGAUACCCGGGUAGUC